AUUGAACGCUGGCGGCAUGCCUUACACAUGCAAGUCGAACGGUAACGGGCCUUCGGGUGCCGACGAGUGGCGAACGGGUGAGUAAUGCAUCGGGACGUACCUUUCAGUGGGGGAUAACGUAGCGAAAGUUACGCUAAUACCGCAUAUUCUGUGAGCAGGAAAGCAGGGGAUCGCAAGACCUUGCGCUGAUUGAGCGGCCGAUGUCAGAUUAGCUAGUUGGUGAGGUAAAGGCUCACCAAGGCGACGAUCUGUAGCGGGUCUGAGAGGAUGAUCCGCCACACUGGAACUGAGACACGGUCCAGACUCCUACGGGAGGCAGCAGUGGGGAAUUUUGGACAAUGGGGGCAACCCUGAUCCAGCCAUGCCGCGUGAGUGAAGAAGGCCUUCGGGUUGUAAAGCACUUUCGGCCGGGAAGAAAUCGCACGGGCUAAUACCCUGUGUGGAUGACGGUACCGGAAUAAGAAGCACCGGCUAACUACGUGCCAGCCGCCGCCGUAACAC
rnacentral:rRNA from 1 species